UUACAUGAUGAUUUAAAUUUUAUCACGACGGUCUACAUAGCCAAUGGCUUUGAUGAGACUGCCCUUGACAAGGCACGAAUCUGAUA
rnacentral:snoRNA from 1 species